AGGACGAACGCUGGCGGCGUGCUUAACACAUGCAAGUCGAACGGUAAGGCCUUUCGGGGUACACGAGUGGCGAACGGGUGAGUAACACGUGGGUGAUCUGCCCUGCACUUUGGGAUAAGCCUGGGAAACUGGGUCUAAUACCGAAUAUGACCAUGGGAUGCAUGUCUUGUGGUGGAAAGCUUUUGCGGUGUGGGAUGGGCCCGCGGCCUAUCAGCUUGUUGGUGGGGUGAUGGCCUACCAAGGCGACGACGGGUAGCCGGCCUGAGAGGGUGUCCGGCCACACUGGGACUGAGAUACGGCCCAGACUCCUACGGGAGGCCGCAGUGGGGAAUAUUGCACAAUGGGCGCAAGCCUGAUGCAGCGACGCCGCGUGAGGGACGACGGCCUUCGGGUUGUAAACCUCUUUCAGUAGGGACGAAGCGCAAGUGACGGUACCUACAGAAGAAGGACCGGCCAACUACGUGCCAGCAGCCGCGGUAA
rnacentral:rRNA from 1 species